rnacentral:tRNA from 1 species
GGGGUUGUGGCUCAGCGGUAGAGCGCUCACCUCACAUGUGUGAGGGCCUGGGUUCGCUCCUCAGCACCACA